GCACAAAGCAUUUGUCAUUCUAUUUUAGGAUACAACUUAACAGAUUCUGAAACAGUGUUUAGUUACAAUGUUAUUGUACAGGCAUGGUAUAAUUGCAGUGUAUACAGGUAUGACUUGAGGGCGUAUUUGCAGUGGCUACUCUCAAUCUAUAACUGGGCAUGUAUACACAAAUUUCGUUCCAUGCUCGGUGCGUGUCCUCCUGCAUGUGUAUUUAUCGCUU